rnacentral:rRNA from 1 species
UACGGUGAAUACGUUCCCGGACCUUGCACACACCGCCCGUCAAGCCAUGGAAGCCGGGUGUACCUAAAGUCGGUAACCGUAAGGAGCCGCCUAGGGUAAAACUGGCGACUGGGGCUAAGUCGUAACAAGGUACCC